CACGCAGGCGGUUUGUUAAGUCAGAUGUGAAAUCCCCGGGCCCAACCUGGGAACUGCAUUUGAAACUGGCAAGCUAGAGUCUCGUAGAGGGGGGUAGAAUUCCAGGUGUAGCGGUGAAAUGCGUAGAGAUCUGGAGGAAUACCGGUGGCGAAGGCGGCCCCCUGGACGAAGACUGACGCUCAGGUGCGAAAGCGUGGGGAGCAAACA
rnacentral:rRNA from 1 species